ACUCCUACGGGAGGCAGCAGUAGGGAAUAUUGCGCAAUGGGGGAAACCCUGACGCAGCAACGCCGCGUGGAGGAUGAAGGCCUUCGGGUCGUAAAACUUCUGUCAGAUGGGAAGAAAAAGCUUGGGUUAAUAGCCCAAGCCCUUGACGGUACCAUCAGAGGAAAGCCCCGGCUAACUCCGUGCCAGCAGCCGCGGUAAUACGGAGGGGGC
rnacentral:rRNA from 1 species